rnacentral:rRNA from 1 species
GCCAAGGAGAGUUUGAUCCUGGCUCAGGAUGAACGCUGGCGGCGUGCCUAACACAUGCAAGUCGGACGGGGCCAUGGGGAAGCCGUUUUGUAGCUUGCUAUAUCGCGGCGGAGCCAUGGCCUAGUGGCGGACGGGUGAGUAACGCGUGAGGACCUGCCCGGCGGAGGGGGACAACAGCUGGAAACGGCUGCUAAUACCGCGUAUGCGCGAGCGAUCGCGUGAGAGGGCGCGGAGAC